UGGAAAUGAGGACAACAUGUGUGUCUUAACAUUUCGGUGAAGACUUCUAAUCCAACUCUGAUCCAACUAUUGGG
rnacentral:snoRNA from 1 species